GGGAAGGGUGGCAGGACAGAAGUGUGCACAGAAGCAGGAAGAGAUCCAAUAGAAGAAGAAUUCGAUUCUAUGAAUUGGUCAUACCCAGGAGUCUGUGUUCAGUUUUCAGAGAUGUGGAAUUCUGAAUUUUGACAGUGCGCCUUUAAGAGCCCAAUCUAGUUGCUUCACAAUGUUGUAAAUCAAAGGACUUACUGGGCCUCUGGUAGGCUGCCAAAAGCAAGCGGAGUCUGUAUUUUAAUAAAGAACCCAGGUGAUUCCAAUCCAACUCUAGAAGCUGUGUUUGGGGACCCCAGAUCUGAGCCCCAAGAGCGUCUGGGAAGCGACAGACGUACCAUGAAGUAGAACUGCUCCGUCUCCUGCUGGUUUGCUCUUCUCUUGGCAAUGCUGGGCUUACUCAGGUAGGUCUCGGAGACCGUGGACUUCACAGACUCUGUGGAACGGCUGUGCUGGAAGCAUUCAGAGACAUCGUAGUCCUCGAUGGUGACCAUAUCUUGUAUGGUCUGCAAGGUGGCUUCGGUCGUUUUCUUAACCUGGGGACAGAACACAUUUCUCCUGUUACCACAUGAUUUCGUGGAUCCCACACUCAGAAUCUACUCUGUCAGGCAGAGGUGAAGACAUAGGCCCUGCCCCAAGAAGAGGAGAGAGAGACAGGUUAUGGUUCCCUACUGAAAUCUAAGCUUGGCUUUUAUCUCCUCGACCACAAUAAAGGGCGGAGAGAGGAACUCUAAGAAAAGGGAACUGCAGUCUAUGGGAAUUACUCCAGAGCUAGCCUGGAAAGAAAGGAGCAGAGGGAAUGACCCCCACGCUGAAAUCCCUGAAACAAAGAUUAAAAGUGAACUUGAAGAAUAUGUGCAAGACUGUGCAACAUUAGAUUGAAAUAAGCUUAGAGAAUAUUUAUAGUGAGAAAGGUACCAAUGAUUAUUUAGAUAUAGGUUGCUUUGAAAGUGUUUAAGAAAAAGAAAACAAACAAACAAAAAAUGAGGAUAAAGUUGUGUGGGCAGCAGGCUCUGCUCCAAUUCUAUGCGUACAACCCACAGUGGGCACUAAUAAAUAUUUGUUGGCGGGCUGACAGGAGGUUGAAAUCAUUAGGAUUGAGGUACCAGUGAUGCAAGUGUGCAGCAUACUGAAACUGAAAGCUCGUAUGAUUUAAAAGGCCUAACAGGCAAAUGUGAAGUUGUGAGGAGACAACAAUCCAUUAUAAAUCUGUAUCCACCCCAAAUUCAAUGAAGCCCUUCUCAAAACUUCAUUUAGCUUUUACUAUGUGCCAGUAUACUGAGGCCAUUUCACAAAUGCUUACUGCUCUCUUUGUUCUAAGGCCAGUGCUGCAAACUCAUAUAUCCUCAAGGGCCAAGGAAGUAGUGACAAUAAGGCAAGUGGGCUGGGUGGGGAGCAUGGCAAACAGGAAGGACAUGCUCUCUGUCUAAAGGGAGCAUCUCAGCUCCAGCCAGUUAUCAUCCUGCAGAAAUGCAGGUCUAGUAUGAUCAGACUUUCUAACUGUUUAGAAACUGGAAACAUAUUUUUAUUCAAAACUUCUAAUUUUUAAAUGACAGCAACUAAUUUUUAAAAAUCAAGCACUGGAAAGCAAACAAAAUUUGUCCAUGGUCUGUAGGCUCUCAGCAUGGAAAUUCCCUUCUAAAAAGGCUUCCUACAGUUUCAAAUGGUGCCCAUUAUUUGUAGUUGUUUAAGAUUUGGUGAAAAGGUUCAUAUUCUAUUUAGCUGCACUGUCCAUGCUUUUUGUAAACUUGGAUGAGAUUCUCUUUCAACUUUUAUCUUUUCACUGGGCAGUCAUAAUUAUUUUUAGUUAACUGAACUCUUUCCAGUGAAUUUUGGACUUUGUGUAUAUCUGUUUGUGCAGAGGCAGAGAAUUAUACAUGUUUCUUUACUUGUAUACUUUGGUUUGAGAGCAAUGUGUCAAUUUUUUGACCUCUAUCAGUGGAGGAUCAGAGGCAAAUUCUUUAUUUAUGGUAGAGAAGAGUGCUAUAAAGGACUCCAAAUCAGGAAUGAUUGCUAUCUUGUUUCCAAGUUAUAUCCCUUACUUUUUGCAUUAUAUAAAUGACUUGUUAUAGUCUGGCCCUCACGCAAGACAGAUGCAAACUGUGACAUUCAUCACUGUACUCCCCACACCUGGCAAAAUAUGUGGAACGUAGAAGCUGAUGAACAAAUAUUUAUUGUACUGAAAUGAGCUGACUCACAGUGUCAAAAUCCCUUAAGUUGGCUCUCAAAGUCUCUUGUCAUCUGACUUCAGCUUCACCUUUGGCUUAUCCUCAAGGAGAGCCUGGAUGAUGACCAAAUUCCUCUGGGAAACCAAGGUUCUUCCAGGGCAUUUUGAAAUAUAUUGAAACAACUUUUCCCUCUUCCCUAUCAAUGGAAAUCUACUGAUUGUCGAAAAUCCAAUUUAAGGGGCGCCUGGGUGGCUCAGUCGUUAAGCAUCUGCCUUCAGCUUGGGUCGUGAUCCUGGGGUCCUGGGAUCGAGACCCACAUUGGGCUCCCUGCUCAGCAGGAAGCCUGCUUCUCCCUCUCCCACUCCCCCUGCUUGUGUUCCCUCUCUCGCUGUGUCUCUCUCUGUCAAAUAAAAUCUUAAAAAAAAAAAAAAAAAAAUCCAAUUUAAAUCUUCCUUUCACUGGAAAUCCCAUUCUAUGACAGUGCAUUUGUCCCAUGUCCAGCAGAUCAUAAACCACCAGUCAUGCUCACUGGAAACAUCAGGACAAUCUAAUUCAUUUGUUUCUAUGAUAAAUGCUUUUAACCCUCAGAAAGCACUGCCUGCCACUAUUAGUUUAUAAGGACCCUGUGCUUCUCUACAUUAUGCUCAAAAGGGCAAACAUUAAGGGUCAAAACCUCAAAGGCCUGCAGAGGCCAGACAGGCAAGAGAAAUGGAAUAGUCCAAUGUAAGAAAACUGGGAGUUGAAUGACUAUGGCAAAGUGGAAUUCAAAUACCCCAGCUCUUCCCUUCAUGAGGCAGUGCAGGGUUAGCAUCGCCAGACUUGCUCAUUUUCAACAGGCCAAAAACGUGGGAGCCAAACCAAACAGGUCUGUGGGCUGCCAGUUUUGACCUUGUGUAGAACACAUUAUUUUCCUAGAGUUCAGAGACUGUUUCCAAGUAAAACAGCAGGAGAAUACACACACACACACACACACACACAAAUUGGAAGUCACUAGAUGUACAAACUGUAGAUCUAUUAGGAUCCAGUAAACUGCAUCAGGCAAGUAUUUUGUGAUGCCUCGCCAAAACCCCAAGCUCAAAAACACCUCCAGAAGAGCAAUAGCUUUCCUUUGGAAAGGCUCAUCUGUGAGACUUUACACAGUGACUGAAGCCUUAAUCACAUGGUUGCAUCUUAAACACAUGUGUGAAUAAGGGCUGGUUUGGUUCUGCUAGAAAGAAUGGAAGACAGAAAGCUGCAAGGGAUUUUGACCAAACUAGACUGGUCUAGAAACAUAUCACUGUUUGUUAACAGAGUCAAAUAUAUGUUCACAGAGUUCAUAACAUCCCAUGAGAUUAUAAAAUAAAAGAGGGUAUCAAAGUGCAUUCUGGUAAUUCAUUUCCUCAGGAUGAAUUAUUGUUAUUGUUUUCUUUUUUCUGUCCCACAUUCCUUCCUUUCAGGAAUUGUCUCUAGAAAUACAUAUUUCUGGUGGAGCUGUCAGUCAAAGGGCUCUAUGCAUGAGCACAAUAUCUAAGCUGAUCCAUGAAAGAAUCCCAUUUCUUGCAUGUAAUGGCUGGUCUGGAAGUAUGCAUGAUUGAAGUAAGGCCAAUAAAGGAUCCUAGUUCAGAGAUAAGGGCCCUGGGAUGGGGUGAGAUGGCAAGUUAUAGGGACCAUGUAGUUUGGGCUAUCCCAGUAUAAGGGAAAACAACUACCAACUGACAUGUGAAGAUAAAACUUCAAAAUGAUGGAAAGAGAGAUUCCUGAUAAUAUCAUCAGAAUACAGAUUCCAUCAUGCCCGAGGCUAUGCAAACAUUGACCAAUAAGUAAACUUUUUAACUUGAGUUUAGUUUGAUUUGGGUUCCUGUAGGUGAUGACUGAGAGCCUUAGAAACAUUUGUGGUUCAUAUUUUAAGGAGAACGUGGAUCCAAUUAAAUUAAUUUCAGAAACAGGCAGCUGAAAUGUAUGACUGCUUUCUGGCUCAACAUAUAUUUAUAAUUCACAUUUUAUGUUCUAUCUACCUAAAGCCACUAAUAUCAGCAAAUAAAGUUUUCUAUUCUCAUUCAAGUACUAUUUUAAAAUAGGAUUUCUGUACUAAUUGGAUCAGUAAUGCCAUGUUUAGUACCAAAAAUCUAAAGAAUACAAAAAAGCAAAGAAAUUACUAAUUUCAGAAGUUAGGAUUAAAUUAACAUGUCAGUCAAGUUUUAUUUCCACACUAUUGUGUAUUCUUGGACACAUAUGUUGAAUUUGAUCAUUUAUGGGAACUAUUUUCAGUAUGAAUUACAAAUUUAAAAAUAAAAUGUGUGUUUACAUGUGUAUGUAGUAAAUCCCUGGUAAAGGAUUCAUCUCUGGUAGAAUAUAGAAUCUUUGGAUUUAUCUUCGACAAGGGGUAUUUUAGGAACCAUGAUUUAGCUGAAAACGUAUGAUGAAGAGAUUGCAUUUGGAAUGUUAAAUAUGCCUAGGUCAUGUGACAAUGUCUUCCAGUAUACGUUAGAAUUCAGAUGACUUGCGGGGCAGAAAGCAUGCUCACCUCCU